rnacentral:rRNA from 1 species
UACGGAGGGUGCGAGCGUUGUCCGGAAUCAUUGGGCGUAAAGGGCGCGUAGGUGGCGGGACAAGCGUGCGGUGAAAGCCUGGGGCUCAACCCCGGGUCGGCCGUGCGAACUGUUUUGCUUGAGCACUGUAGAGGCAGGCGGAAUUCCGGGUGUAGCGGUGGAAUGCGUAGAGAUCCGGAAGAACACCGGUGGCGAAGGCGGCUUACUGGUCCAUUACUGACGCUGAGGUGCGAAAGCGUGGGGAGCAAACAGG